rnacentral:rRNA from 1 species
UACGUAGGGAGCAAGCGUUGUCCGGAAUCAUUGGGCGUAAAGCGCACGUAGGCGGCUUAGCAAGUCGGAUGUGAAAGCCCUCGGCUCAACCAAGGAAGUGCAUCCGAAACUGCUGAGCUUGAGUACUUAAGAGGAUCGCGGAAUUCCCGGUGUAGAGGUGAAAUUCGUAGAUAUCGGGAGGAACACCAGUGGCGAAGGCGGCGAUCUGGGAAGAUACUGACGCUGAGGUGCGAAAGCGUGGGGAGCAAACAGG